rnacentral:rRNA from 1 species
UGCUAUACUGCAGUCGAACGCACAGCGAAAGGUGCUUGCACCUUUCAAGUGAGUGGCGAACGGGUGAGUAACACGUGGACAACCUGCCUCAAGGCUGGGGAUAACAUUUGGAAACAGAUGCUAAUACCGAAUAAAACUUAGUAUCGCAUGAUACCAGGUUAAAAGGCGCUACGGCGUCACCUAGAGAUGGAUCCGCGGUGCAUUAGUUAGUUGGUGGGGUAAAGGCCUACCAAGACAAUGAUGCAUAGCCGAGUUGAGAGACUGAUCGGCCACAUUGGGACUGAGACACGGCCCAAACUCCUACGGGAGGCUGCAGUAGGGAAUCUUCCACAAUGGGCGAAAGCCUGAUGGAGCAACGCCGCGUGUGUGAUGAAGGCUUUCGGGUCGUAAAGCACUGUUGUAUGGGAAGAAAAGUUAAGGUAGGGAAUGACCUUAGCCUGACGGUACCAUACCAGAAAGGGACGGCUAAAUACGUGCCAGCAGCCGCGGUAAUACGUAUGUCCCGAGCGUUAUCCGGAUUUAUUGGGCGUAAAGCGAGCGCAGACGGUUGGUUAAGUCUGAUGUGAAAGCCCGGAGCUCAACUCCGGAAAGGCAUUGGAAACUGGUUAACUUGAGUGCAGUAGAGGUAAGUGGAACUCCAUGUGUAGCGGUGGAAUGCGUAGAUAUAUGGAAGAACACCAGCGGCGAAGGCGGCUUACUGGACUGUAACUGACGUUGAGGCUCGAAAGUGUGGGUAGCAAACAGGAUUAGAUACCCUGGUAGUCCACACCGUAAACGAUGAACACUAGGUGUUAGGAGGUUUCCGCCUCUUAGUGCCGAAGCUAACGCAUUAAGUGUUCCGCCUGGGGAGUACGACCGCAAGGUUGAAACUCAAAGGAAUUGACGGGGACCCGCACAAGCGGUGGAGCAUGUGGUUUAAUUCGAAGCAACGCGAAGAACCUUACC